rnacentral:rRNA from 1 species
GAUGAACGCUGGCGGCGUGCCUAAUACAUGCAAGUCGAGCGAACAGAUGAGGAGCUUGCUCCUCUGACGUUAGCGGCGGACGGGUGAGUAACACGUGGAUAACCUACCUAUAAGACUGGGAUAACUUCGGGAAACCGGAGCUAAUACCGGAUAAUAUAUUGAACCGCAUGGUUCAAUAGUGAAAGACGGUUUUGCUGUCACUUAUAGAUGGAUCCGCGCCGCAUUAGCUAGUUGGUAAGGUAACGGCUUACCAAGGCAACGAUGCGUAGCCGACCUGAGAGGGUGAUCGGCCACACUGGAACUGAGACACGGUCCAGACUCCUACGGGAGGCAGCAGUAGGGAAUCUUCCGCAAUGGGCGAAAGCCUGACGGAGCAACGCCGCGUGAGUGAUGAAGGUCUUCGGAUCGUAAAACUCUGUUAUUAGGGAAGAACAAAUGUGUAAGUAACUAUGCACGUCUUGACGGUACCCAAUCAGAAAGCCACGGCUAACUACGUG